UACAGGGGGGGGGGCAAGCGUUGUUCGGAAUUACUGGGCGUAAAGGGCUCGUAGGUGGCCAACUAAGUCAGACGUGAAAUCCCCUCAGCUUAACUGGGGAACUGCGUCUGAUACUGGAUGGCUUGAGUUUGGGAGAGGGAUGCGGAAUUCCAGGUGUAGCGGUGAAAUGCGUAGAUAUCUGGAGGAACACCGGUGGCGAAGGCGGCAUCCUGGACCAACACUGACACUGAGGAGCGAAAGCCAGGGGAGCAAACGGG
rnacentral:rRNA from 1 species